CAGUCGCCGCGGUAAUACGUAGGGUGCAAGCGUUAAUCGGAAUUACUGGGCGUAAAGCGUGCGUAGGUGGUGGUUUAAGUCCGUUGUGAAAGCCCUGGGCUCAACCUGGGAAUUGCAGUGAAUACUGGAUCACUAGAGUGUGGUAGAGGAUAGUGGAAUUUCCGGUGUAGCAGUGAAAUGCGUAGAUAUCAGGAGGAACACUGGUGGUGUAAACGGCUUUCUGGACCAUAACUGACGCUGAGGCACGAAAGCGUGGGUAGCAAACAGGAUUAGAUACCCCUGUAGUCCCUGUCUCUUAUAC
rnacentral:rRNA from 1 species